AGUUACAUGAAUAAUAUUUGUAAUAAUUCCUGCCCAGUGAAUAAUUUAACGGCCGCGGUAUCCUGACCGUGCAAAGGUAGCAUAAUCACUUGCCUAUUAAUUGUAGGCUAGAAUGAAUGGAUAAACGAGAAUUAUACUGUCCCACCUAGAUGUAUAAAAAUUUAUUUUUAAGUGAAGAAGCUUAAAUGUAUUCACAAGACAAGAAGACCCUAUAGAGCUUUACCUAUUUCUUAGGAUUCGACUAAUUUUAGGUUCGGUUGGGGCGACCGAGGAAUAAUCAUCAUCCUUAAUAAUUAAGACCACCAAGUCUUACUAAAGAUCCUUUAUAAAGAUCACUGAAUCAAGCUACCUUAGGGAUAACAGGCUAAUUUCUUCCAAAAGUUCAUAUUUACGAAGAAGAUUGGCACCUCGAUGUUGGCUUAGGAUUCCCUUAUGCUGCAGCAGGCAUAACUGAAGGAUUGUUCAUCCAUUAAUUUCCU
rnacentral:rRNA from 1 species